CUAUGACUGCAAAUUACCAUCUCCGAUUAGGGUUUUGCAGAAACGGAGAAACUUGUACGCCUAUAAAUGUACACAAGUCCCUACCCAGUCCACUCCACUCCACUCUGGCGAAGACGGCGAUUGUAAUCAGAUAGAAGGAACUGAAUCAGAGAAAAAGAGAAAAGCGUGAUCAACCAAGAUGAGAGCUAAAUGGAAGAAGAAGCGCAUGAGGAGGCUGAAGAGGAAGCGCAGAAAGAUGAGGCAGAGAUCGAAGUAGGCUCUAAGCUGAUGUGCCGUUAUCACUCUCCUUCAUGUACAGCAUGAGCUUGUGAAGGAUGAUGGUUUUUCAUUGGGGGGAACUGGGCAAGCAUCUUAUGUUUCUGUCUUUGUACUCUAGGUGUAGUAAUUGCUAUUAAGACUAGCUUGUGGCAUCUGGGUUACUGGCUUUAUCUCUACCUGUACUGUUAGGUAUUAUGCUGGUUAUACUUAUAAUCUUAUAUGUUUGAAUUUAUUAGCACUACUUACUUCAAUGUCCUUUUGAAUUACUCCUAAAGCUUUUUUUUAUGAAUGGAGAACACCAUUUGUAUAAUUGUCUGCUUGGAAUGGAUCCGUAUUUAGUUA